UGAGCCGCCGGGUCGCCGUUCUCAGCCGCGGCCCGUGCGCGGGGCCUUGGCGUCGUCCCGGUCGGCGGGCGGCGCCGAUCCGUUGCGGCCCGCCC
rnacentral:tRNA from 2 species